GGUUUAGCUGUGAGGGGAUAUGGAUCCGACCCGCUUGAGCUCCGGAUCCGGUAGUAUCUGAAACGUGACCAAACUAUGGGCAACGCAGAAUGCUCGGUGGGCCCGGCAAGUCAAGGGAGGGAGCGAUGGGAUCUCAAGACUCGGCGGUGGUCGUGAGGCGGUGGCCGGCGAUUGGGGUGUUGGUCUUGACGUUGUCCUGGUGUUCGAUCCCGACGGCGCGCGGGGAAGCGGCGGAUGGAGAAGGUGGGGAUGGUAUCGCCGCCGAAGGAGGAGUGAGGGGAUGCCGACUUCUGCUAAGCGUCCAAGAAGCCAAGGGGAACGCCUCCUUCCGUUGCUCUCCCUCUGGUCUCUGCCUCCCCUGCCAGUACUCCGAGAAGAAUGAUGACAAAUAUCGCUGCAGUGAAACUGGCUAUCGGGUGCCUUUGAAAUGUGUACAAAUAAAAGAUGGAACAGAGGAGGCAAGUAGGCUCAGAACCCGAAGAAGCCUCUUAUACCUUCAAGAACAUGCAUCAGGAGUGCAAAAAAGACUGCUUAUUACGAUAAGUAACUACAAAUGGAGAAAACUGUUGGCCGAAUCAUCAAAAUUGGAGAACGAGGAAGAAAACUAUAUUACUUAUAGGAGCUGUGUGCCAGUUGAUAGCAAUGAGAAGUUGUCUGUCCUUGGUUUCGAGGUGAUCAUGUUGGGGUUGUUGCUUAUAAGUGGGUCAGUUGUGUACUUACGGCAAAAGCGUACUGCAUUCAUGUCAGGAGUUGCACGGAUGAGGGUAUCCACAAGCUCCCCUAGGUUCUGAUACACCGACAGAACAAGGAAUGAACAACAGUAUAUUCGUCCAAACAAGAAUUUAAGCUGAGAAGUAAGAGUGGACUGUGUUCAUCUUCUUCCUCUCAAUCUGAACUCCGACUCUGUGUGCUAUUAUUUACCACGAGAAGGAUUUUGCCAUCACUAUUUCUUGAUCCCCAGGAAUCGGACUACUGAGUAUAAGAUGUCAAGAUGAACGAACUACAGCUCAGAGUUUGAAGUUGCUAAGCAAUUCAAACCCUGCAACAGAAAGCCGUGUACUCCAUAUCUGCUGACUCUUGC